UUUUAGAAUAAAAACAAAAUUUAAUUAUAUCACGUAUAAGGAUUCAUAACUGAAUUUUAAUUAUCUUAUUCAAAUUGGCGACUACUUUGGUUGCUACCCCAUUAGCACAGCCAAGCACCAUAAACGUUAAAACUACAUUUCCACUUGGAAACGAAAUGGUCGACAAGACGCCAUUUCAACGAAAUCAACAAAUUUUUCUACUUGUCAUUUUGAUGGGAGAUACGAAUGAUAUGCAAGGUUUUAUGGAGCUUCAUCUCUACAUGCUAAAGCAUUCUUCAGGGAUUCAGAUUUCCUGCCGUUGAGCAAUAAUCUGCAGUUGCAGUCACCAUACAGAAAUCACAAUUAUAUGCACAUGCCAUCGAGAUCACCAAUGCAAAACACUAAUAUGUAGUUUUCCCCUUCUGUCACUACAAAAGAUGUGAUUGACAACAAAAUUUUCCAAUGUUUAUACAACAGCAAACAACCUUCUGUGAUGAAUGCUGAAGACGACAACGAAAAACAAUGAUAUAUCAACAAUGAGGUUAACUGCUAUGCUAAUUUACAAAAAUCAAAGGAAAAAACCCCAUAAUUAUUUCCCUCCACUCUUCUUCAUCAAUGUUCAGAAACAUCGAAAAAUGUUAAAUUUACAACACCUACAUACAGCAAAUUCUGAAUGAAAAUUGAAGGAAGCAAGCACCAGUUGGGCCUCAUUUACCUUACUUUGUGAGAGAUCUUUAUGUAAUUUAAUAACUUUUUUAGAGCCCUGCCGCUGUCAAUGGCCUCUCUGGCUCUGUCCAGGGCUAAGGAAAUAUCUUCUGCACCAUCACAUCCCAGUAAGUGAUCUACCAUUCCAGCAUUUAGGACAAUUCGAUCAUAUGCUGGACCUUUUUCACCACGAAGAGCUGCUAAACCCAGCUCUAUAUUCUUUGAGACCUGACAGUAGAAAAAAAUGUGCUAGUUGUCAAUCAUGUGGCUGGUCAGAAAGAAGGUGGCUACAGAAGAUUGAGAAUAAGAGAGGGAAAGGGAUUAUUUUUGGCCAAUUAUGCAGUUGGACCUAUGCUGGUUGAAAAUUUAAAUGAAGAGUGAAUGUGUUAUUCAAGAUGCCAUAGCAGAUAUUGUGCUGCCUAGAAUGGCGUUCAAUGAAUACUCAAGAGAAACAUGAAGAUAUAGAAAUAUAAACAUAUGAAAUUUUAGAAACCACAAAAAUCAAUAUACUGUGUCCAAUCAAUUGGUAGCAUCAAGAAUACAUAAUUAUCCUGAAUAUUCCAGUUCAUAAUUAUGGAGUCAUAGGUUUUGGAAUAAUCUCACAGAUAACACAAGUACAUAACUGUUUCGAAGCAAAGAACAGAGAAGAUUCUGCUCUUGAAAAGAGAAUGACCACCAAACUAUAUAUUAUUUGUUAGUUAUAACAAGCUAGUGGAUAUGCAUCUUUUUCUUUGUUGUUUAGGUAUUUUACACAAACAGCUUGUGUGUAAGUGAUGUACCCCCAUUUUCUUUCUAGUGGGCUUUGAAAAAAAAUUUGUUACUGACCAUAGAACAAACAAAUCUAAAUUAGCCAUAUUUGGCAGAAGAUUUAUCAGUCUUUUGAACUGUCCAAUUACCAAGGUGUAGAAAGACGUAACAUUAAAACAAGAUGCUAUUGGAGUUGUAGCGCAUCCUGCCACCAUAAAGAAAAUUUAGAAGAAAGGAAAGAAAAGAAAAAAGCCAUUGAGGGUAUUAGAAAAUUUACCGAUCUAUCAGUUCUUGGUGUAUCAGUGGGUUCAAAGCCAUAGUCCUUGGCAUUAACCUCAAUAUUGAAACUCUCACAUGACAUCCCUGAAAUACGAAGAGUUGAGGUUUCAGUGUCGAGGCUAGAUGAUUGGUGCAAAGAAAUACACUGGUCAAUAUGGGAGAAUGAACUAUCAAUUAUGACCAUAGUCACGUUCAUAUCCAAAAUUAACCAAUUAGAUCCUCAUAUUCUACAAGUAUUCCAAAGGAAAUUAAAGAAGAAAUAUGGCUAAAGGAUGCAAACCAUCAACUUCAAAAGCAGAUGCCAUGCUCAAUGAUCGAAACCCUGAACUAUAGUUCACAGGGAGUCCUUUUGAUGCAUUUGCAGAACGCAAUCGCGUUGUCAUUGAGAGGGCCCCUUCCUCACCCUAAAUUACCAGCACGGUCAGAUAGUGAAUUAAGUAGUUGCUUUUGGUCAAUAAGUUUCAACCUCAAAGUAAAAUGCUAAGUUCAAACCUUCACCACCAAACCAGAAUGAACACCUCUUCUUUUCAUGAGCAUUAAAAGAGGCUCCUCAUAAGCUUCAUGAUAAAAUCCAGCAACAAUUGCUUCCUUUCCCCGAGCCCUCACAAAUUGUUGAACCUUUUCAGUUGUAGCUAGUGGGGGACGUUUCUUUAUGUGCUCCCUCAACCCAAUCAAUGAAUAUCUGAAAAUCCAAAAAUAAAUAUGACACCAGAACUUUCAUGCCCCUUGAUUCAAUUCCUGGAGAUCAAAAGGACAUGUUGAUGAAACUUUUACUGCCAACAAAGACUGAAAUGCUUAAAAAUUAAGAUAAAGUUGCACUGUCAUUUGCUAAAUUAAGUAAAUCACUUCAAAUGUGAAGAAAAAAAAUCGUGGACAGCAAGAAUGGGGCACAUGUGGUUGGAUUUCAUACAGAGAUGGGCAAGCUUCAUGCUGACUUAUGUAGGCAAAACCAACCUCAUCAUCCUGAAAUAACAGUCAUAAAAGUUAAACAAAUCAAGAAGAAAGAAUACGCAGAUAGCACUGUAAAUUAGCAUGUGCCAAACACCUCAAGAAGUCCUUUAGCCUGCAAAGGGGUCAAGCUCGUAUUUGCUCCCAUAAACUUCAGCAUUUGCUCCUCAGUUACACCCCCCUAAAAAAAUACAGGACCAGUAAGACAAUCUAUGAGUCCUGGAAUAUGUGAGUGCAGAUAUUACUACAAUUUCCCUUUCAGACCCCAAAAAAAUUGAAAUUUAAUGUUAUGAUUCACAGCAGGUAAAAAUAAGCCAAAUUAAAUCAUACUCUCAUUGCGUAGUUAGCAGCUUGAAGGGGAUAUUAGCUGUAAGCUGAAAUUCAACAAUGGCAUUAUCAAUUGAGUUCUGCUACUUGUCCCACAAAUUUUGUAUUGCACAACAUGGUACGACAACAUUGAUAAAUGUUAUGAACCCCCAAAAACUAAAUAUAUUGAUACAUGUUAGUGCUGCAUGCUAACAAUUCACAGGUGGAUAGAGAUCUAAGGCAUAUAAAAUGAUGUGCCGUUUGGAUAAAAAUUGAACAGUAGAAGUUGGGACCAGAAGCAUUUUCCUUAUCAAUAACUUAUUUCAAUGAAAACUUUGCAUAAUCAAAGAGAAAACUGAAAUAAAGUACGGGCCACAAAGAUAAUAAGCAGAGGGCUGACCUUAGGUGGCAUCCAUUCCACACCAUGAAGCAAUGAAGAUUCACCAUAACAGGAUCUAACCGCAGCAACAAACAAAGUGCUCCUAAAGAAACGCGUGUUUCCAUCAUAAGGUUCACCAUAAUGAGUCAAUGAUCUUACAUCAGCAACAGGCGGAGGACCAAGUUCAUCAUCAAAUGCAAGGCAAUAUGCCUUCAACUCGCUAUCAGUUUCCCGGUUCAUACGUUGGCCAAUCAAAAAUGCUGAAAGCAAUGAUUCACUGACUCCAGAGCAUGCAUCAUCUUCAACUUUCAAGGGAAGAACGUCUCUCAAAACACCUUGGACCUCCUCAUCUCCAAGAUGACCACCCGCCAAGAUCUCUCUAAGGGCACCAACCAGUCUCAUUUCGCUUGUACAAUUCCCAACAUAUUGGGAAGCAACUGAACUCCCAGCUCCCAUAAUCGAGCCUUCGGGAUCCGCAAUGAAGAUAACAUCAGGCGGCAGAACUCGAACUAACAAAGGCCAAAAAUUAUUCAUUGCCCGCUUUUCCCCUUCACUCCAUUGGGUUGCUUCCGGAAACGCAUUUGCACGUAUCGUCAUAGCCGCGAAAAAGGCCCCAAGCUGGGCUUUUGAAACUUCCUCUUCAUCUUUAAGCUCACCCCUAGCUGAUCGGAAAAUGGUGUCCAGAACUUUAAAGGCCUGAUCUUCAUUCAGCGGCCUGGUCUGUGUAGGUCCAGUGCAAACCCUAGCUUGAGCUUCCAGCACAGUCUCAUUCGGUUUCGGCAACUUGGAGCUGCGAUACGAAGAAGAAACCGCCGGGUUCUUAAUAUCCGAUUCCGGAAUCCCUAGCUGAUCAAAUGUUGCCGAGUCCAGUGUAGCUCUGGCGGUCAAACAGCAUUGCCGUCGAAUCCAAAGGUCGGGAACGAAUCGUAGAGAAGCAUGGAGUUUUGGGCGGGUGAUAUUCCGUUGAUUGAUGAUGUGGAUUGAGAGAGAAUGUUCUGGAUUGAGCAGAGCUUUCAUGGUGGUCUCUACAAUAUGCGAAACGGAAGAGCGGAGGCUUGCAAAGUUGAUUGCUACUUUCUGUUGCUGCUUCUAGUCAUGGAAGGUAAAAUCGAUUUAAAAAAAGGAAGAAAAUAAGAAGAUCAGAUCGAGGGAUGAUGAUUAAAAAAAUGAAUAAAAUGAAAACAAGCUGCGAUGAAGAAUGGGAAUAAGCCAAAGCUCAGCCCACUGCUCUUGUCAACGCUUGAGGCAAAAAGCACGAGGAAUUUGUUUGUGGUUUUCCUCUAUUUUUAAAUAAAUAAAUAUGGGGC
rnacentral:misc_RNA from 1 species